GACGAACGCUGGCGGCGCGCUUAACACAUGCAAGUCGAACGCUGAAGCUCAGCUUUUGUUGGGUGGAUGAGUGGCGAACGGGUGAGUAACACGUGAGUAACCUGCCUCCUUCUUUGGGAUAACGCCCGGAAACGGGUGCUAAUACUGGAUAUUCACUGGUCUUCGCAUGGGGGUUGGUGGAAAGGGUUUUUCUGGUGGGGGAUGGGCUCGCGGCCUAUCAGCUUGUUGGUGGGGUGAUGGCCUGCCAAGGCUUUGACGGGUAGCCGGCCUGAGAGGGUGACCGGUCACAUUGGGACUGAGAUACGGCCCAGACUCCUACGGGAGGCAGCAGUGGGGAAUAUUGCACAAUGGGCGCAAGCCUGAUGCAGCGACGCCGCGUGAGGGAUGGAGGCCUUCGGGUUGUGAACCUCUUUCGCUCAUGGUCAAGCCGCAACAAUGGUUGUGGUGAGGGUAGUGGGUAAAGAAGCGCCGGCUAACUACGUG
rnacentral:rRNA from 1 species